rfam:Bifidobacterium cuniculi strain LMG 10738 Contig27, whole genome shotgun sequence.
UUUGUGGAGGGUUCGAUUCUGGCUCAGGAUGAACGCUGGCGGCGUGCUUAACACAUGCAAGUCGAACGGGAUCCGGCCAAGCUUGCUUGGCUGGUGAGAGUGGCGAACGGGUGAGUAAUGCGUGACCAACCUGCCUCAUGCACCGGGAUAGCUCCUGGAAACGGGUGGUAAUACCGGAUGUUCCACAUGAUCGCAUGUGAUUGUGGGAAAGGCUUUUUGCGGCAUGGGAUGGGGUCGCGUCCUAUCAGCUUGUUGGUGGGGUGAUGGCCUACCAAGGCUUUGACGGGUAGCCGGCCUGAGA